rnacentral:rRNA from 1 species
CAAUAGCGUAUAUUAAAGUUGUUGCAGUUAAAAAGCUCGUAGUUGGAUUUCUGGUUGAAGCGACCGGUCGGGCGUUGAUUCGUCUGCACUGGAGUCGGUUUUGGCCAUCCUCUAGGAAAGUGCGUCUGGUAUUAAGUUAUCGGGCGUAUGAUCCUGGUCUUUUACUGUGAAAAAAUUAGAGUGUUUAAAGCAGGCCUUCGCCUUGAAUACAUUAGCAUGGAAUAAUAAGAUAGGACUUUGGUCUAUUUUGUUGGUUUGCAGACCGAAGUAAUGAUUAAUAGGGAUAGUUGGGGGUAUUUAUAUUCCGAUGUCAGAGGUGAAAUUCUUAGAUUUUCGGAAGAUAAACUUAUGCGAAAGCAUUCACCAAGGAUGUUUUCAUUAA